rnacentral:hammerhead_ribozyme from 15 species
UUCGAGUCCCGGGGUGAACAUCAACUCCGUGAUGCAGGUAUAUCCGGGUGACGAGUCCCAAAUAGGACGAAACUCGAA